UACGUAGGGUGCAAGCGUUGUCCGGAAUUAUUGGGCGUAAAGAGCUCGUAGGCGGUCUGUCGCGUCGGCUGUGAAAUCCCGAGGCUCAACCUCGGGUCUGCAGUCGAUACGGGCAAACUAGAGUAUUGCAGGGGAGACUGGAAUUCCUGGUGUAGCGGUGAAAUGCGCAGAUAUCAGGAGGAACACCGGUGGCGAAGGCGGGUCUCUGGGCAGUAACUGACGCUGCGGAGCGAAAGCGUGGGGGGCGAACAGG
rnacentral:rRNA from 1 species